GCGCCUUUAGCUCAGUCGGUAGAGCAGCGGCCUUUUAAGCCGUUGGUCCCGGGUUCGAGUCCCGGAGGGCGCA
rnacentral:tRNA from 1 species